AUGGACUACUACAACAUCCUCAAGGUGAACCGGAAUGCCACAUUGGAGGACCUCAAGAAGUCGUACCGGCGGCUCGCUAGGAUGUGGCACCCCGACAAGAAUCCGACUGGUGGCGCCGAGGCUGAGGCCAGGUUCAAGCAGAUAACUGAGGCCUACGAGGUACUAAGUGAUCCAGAAAAGCGUGCAAUUUAUGACCAAUAUGGUGAAGAAGGUUUAAAGGGUAUGCCUCCACCUGGUUCGCAAAGCCGGACCGCCACAGCUUCUGGCUCAAGUGGGCCAAGUAAUUUCCGUUACAAUCCUAGUGAUCCAGAUGAUAUCUUUAAUGAGUUCAUGGCGAGCAACAAGCCAUACACCUUUGAUCAAGACCGAAGGCGCUUUCAACCAGCACACCGGACCUCAGCAGUGAAUGGUCGAAGUGAAGCUUCUUCCAGUUCUCAGAAGGAGCCUGGUACCAGUACAAGCCAUCUGGAAAAGCCACCGCCUGUGGAGAAGACAUUACUUUGCACUCUUGAAGAGCUGUAUAAUGGAACAAAAAGGAAGAUGAAGAUCACUAGGAAUGUCGCAAAAUCAGAUAGAAAGGUAGAAGUUGAGACAGAGAUCUUGCAGGUCGAGGUGUUGCCAGGCUGGAAAAAGGGAACAAAGAUGACAUUUCCCAACAAAGGCGACACGCUGCACGGCUAUUUACCGCAGGACCUGACCUUCGUCAUCGACAUGAAGCCCCAUGACACCUACACUCUGGAAGGGAACAACCUCCUGGUAAGCCAGGAGAUCCCCCUGGUGGACGCUCUUGCCGGGACAACCAUAAACCUCAGGACCCUUGACGGCAGGAGCCUUCCCGUCAGGGUGGAGGAAGUGGUGCGCCCUGGGCAGGAGAUUGUGAUCGAGAAUGAAGGGUGGCCGAUCAGGAAGGAGCCUGGGAAGAAGGGGAGCCUGAGGAUCAGGUUCGACGUGGCCUUCCCGGCGAGGCUAUCCUCGUCGCAGCGAGCUGCCAUCAGGCGGAUCAUGGGGAGCUAA
rnacentral:rRNA from 1 species